rnacentral:rRNA from 1 species
GGGAUUGCCCUAGUAACGGCGAGUGAAGCGGCAACAGCUCAAAUUUGAAAUCUGGCCUCCUUUGGGGGUCCGAGUUGUAAUUUGCAGAGGGUGCUUUGGUGUUGACAGCGGUCUAAGUUCCUUGGAACAGGACGUCACAGAGGGUGAGAAUCCCGUACGUGGUCGCUUGCCUCCGCCGUGUAAAGCCCCUUCGACGAGUCGAGUUGUUUGGGAAUGCAGCUCUAAAUGGGAGGUAAAUUUCUUCUAAAGCUAAAUACCGGCCAGAGACCGAUAGCGCACAAGUAGAGUGAUCGAAAGAUGAAAAGCACUUUGGAAAGAGAGUCAAACAGCACGUGAAAUUGUUGAAAGGGAAGCGCUUGCAGCCAGACUUGCCCGUAGUUGCUCACCCGGACUUUUGCCCGGGGCACUCUUCUGCGGGCAGGCCAGCAUCAGUUUGGGCGACCGGAUAACGGCCUCUGUCAUGUAUCUUCCUUCGGGAUGACCUUAUAGGGGAGGCGUAAUGCGGCCAGCCCGGACUGAGGUCCGCGCUUCGGCUAGGAUGCUGGCGUAAUGGCUGUAAGCGGCCCGUCUUGAAACACGGACCAAGGAGUCUAACAUCUAUGCGAGUGUUUGGGUGUCAAGCCCGGACGCGUAAUGAAAGUGAACGGAGGUGGGAACCCUUUCGGGGGUGCACCAUCGACCGAUCCUGAUGUCUUCGGAUGGAUUUGAGUAAGAGCAUAGCUGUUGGGACCCGAAAGAUGGUGAACUAUGCUUGAAUAGGGUGAAGCCAGAGGAAACUCUGGUGGAGGCUCGCAGCGGUUCUGACGUGCAAAUCGAUCGUCAAAUUUGGGCAUAGGGGCGAAAGACUA